ACUAGUGAUUUCCGUAGGUGAACCUGCGGAAGGAUCAUUCGCACAUGUUCCAGCAUACUAUUGUUGAAUUGUUCUGUGAGAUUUGCGCGGGGGUGUCGAUUGCGUUUCCCCCCAUGUGAAUACUCAUGGGUGGUAAGGUGCUCGGGGUGGUUUCGCACAUACCUGUUCAUUCUUACUGCCAAUGGUGACGCUGAGCGACUUGAUGGUAGCUGUUGUCGAGUGCAAUUGUUGCGUUACGCUUACAACUUACAGCGAUGGAUGUCUCGGUUCGAACAACGAUGAAGGGCGCAGCGAAGUGCGAUAAGCAUUGUGAAUUGCAGAAUUCCGUGAACCGACAGGGACUUGAACGCGCAUUGUGCUUUUGGGAUAUCCCUAAAAGCAUGCCUGCUUCAGUGUCUAUGUUGUGUUUUUCCAGCAAUGUCUGCACUGCGUAUGUGCAUUGCUGUGAACAUUUAUGCCUCAAGAUGUUUGGCCCUGUUCGGGCAUCAGUGAGGCAUUGGAUUUACAAAGCUUUGGUGUGACAAUCGGCUCAGUAAGGCAUUCGGGUUGCUUUUCGCUGUACUUGUCACAACUCGAAGCUUGCCGUCACAAUGGGAAUACUUAUUGUUGAGACAUGAAGUUAGGUUGGCAAACCCGCGUGAAUUUAAGCAUAUCAAU
rnacentral:rRNA from 1 species